UCCUCUGUAUGUUCCCCAUGUGCUCCAUAAUGCGGGUUUUCAGAUUUCUAUGACUACUAGAAGUCUGAAAACCCGCAUUAUGGAGCACAUGGGGAACAUACGGAGGAGAUACACCA